AGCCUGACAUGGGGCUCAAACUCACGGACAGCGAGAUCAUGACCUGAGCUGAAGUCAAGAUGCUUAACCAACUGAGUCACCCAGGCGCCCCUUUCAUCACUUAUAUUUAAUCUGUUAACAAAUCCUGGCUUUACUAUCUAUAAAAAUAAUUCUCAGUAUAUCCAUCUCUCCCUGUCUCUCUGUCACAAUCCUUGUCCUAAUCACCAACAUUUCUUGUGGGUCAAUUGCAAUGGACUCUUAACUGUCUUGGUGCUCUCACUGGUGUUUCCUAUAAUUUGUUUUGUACUGAGAAAUCAGAGGAGUCUUUUAAAAAUUUAAUUAUUUAAUUUUACUUCUGUGUUUAAAUACUUCAAUGGUUUCUUACUGAACUGUGAAUAUAAACAAAAUCCUUUAGGCAGGGCCUCUCAGACCCUGCAUGAGUCUCUCCCUCUAUCAAUAAGCACUGGUGAUCCUGGCCCUCUGCCAUUUCCUAGAAUAACAAAUCGCAUACCCUUGUACACACCGAAGCCUCGCCAAGGGCUUUCCCUAAACCUGGAAUACAAUUCUGUCUGCCCUUCACCUGACUGCCUCUUUCCCACACUUCUCAUCUUAGCUAAAACAUCACUGCAUCAGACAGCUCUUCCCUAAUUUCCAUAUUUAAAGGGUCCCAGCCCAGUUAUCUUCUGCAAUGGCACCUUGUAUAUUUCCUUCUUGGCUUAUCACAAUCUGUAAUAUUUGUAUUUGUUUUGCUGUGCAUCCCCGCCCCCCCCCCCCCCAACUAGCCUGUAGACUCUAAAAGGGCAGUGGAGCUAUCUGGUCAAUGUUGCACCCCUGAGCCAAGCCCAGUGCUUGUUACACAGGAGGUAUCAUUGCAUGUUGGUUGAAUGAAAAACUGGAUAACUCAAAAGUAACUUCCAAGAUUAAUAUUAAAAAAAAGCAUUCCUGGCAGAUGAUGAGAUGAAGUAGACAUAUUUUUAAGGGGUUUUAAAUAGCAUUUUUUAAGGAAAUACUCUGAGUAUCAAUCUAAGUAGAGUGGUCAAGUAAAAUCAAAUCCAAUGGUUAUUUAACAUGCGUUGGGAAUUGAGGACGUUCUCUGGGGGUUACAACACAAACAAUUAACAUUAGACAUGGUUGAUGGCUUAUGAAAAACAAGGUGGCUAAAUGAUACAAUCUUCCUUUUUAACAUUAUUAAAGUAACCCUUUGGCUGAAUUCACAUUAUCUCUCUCUGAAAAUCAUGAUUUAGUGAAGUACUCAGGUAUUUGUACUGUGACCAGGCCAUUCCACAAUGUGCCCCAAGUUCAGAAGAAAUAGCAUAUGCUGUGUUUCACCUGGAGGGAAUUUCAGAUAUUCUCUUCAUCGUGCCCCCUCCUGUUCUACAGAUUAGGCAUGAAUGAAGAGCCUCUUUCUUCCUUCAACCAACUUCUAUAGGGGAGCUCUAUGAGUGAAGAAGAGACCGGCAUUUCACUCCCUGCUAGAUACUUGCUGAGCAGUACAAUCAGCUGACUACCCUGGUGUUACCAGAAGAACACAGCCCAAUGUGGUAAACCUCUCCUCAAAAUUUGCAUGAAAAUGAAAAGAUCAAGGCUAUUUAGAAGUGUAUUGUACCAAAAAACAAAUAAUCCGAUGAAGAAAUGGGGAAAAGACAUGAACAGAAACUUUUCCAAAGAAGACAUCCAGAUGGCUAACAGACACAUGAAAACAUGCUCAACAUCACUCA